CUCCGCUUGGUGUAGUUGGUUUAUCACAUUCGACUGUAAUAGUUAAAUUCAGACCAUCGAAUGGUCCCUAGUUCGAUUCUGGGAGCGGAGA
rnacentral:tRNA from 1 species